GGAGCUGACUCCAUGUUUUUUCCCAAUGUAGAGAUCGCUGGAGAUGGCGAGCUCCGAGACUCCCUCUAUCUUCUGUUUUCAGAGCAACUCUAUGCCCGGGGACAGAAACCAAGAUCCGAGAGGUGAUUCUGCGCCUACUUGGGAGACUCUCUCGGGAACAGAACUCAGCCCCAUCGGCGGCCAGCCUGGAGAGAGGCAGAUCCGAUGAUCCACGUUGGGGAAUCGCAGAUGAGGAAACAAAAAUGCCUCUCUUGUUCAAGACCACCCAGUCAAUACAUGGGGUGAUGUGGGAGCUUCAGCUUAGCUGAAUUCAAGACCCAGCUCUGCCGCAUACUAACAGUGUGGUUGGGAGGCACUGAGCUGGAUGUAAGGGAAACAGAGGCAAAAUGAUUGUGUCUGACAGAGAAGGUAAGAUAUGCAUGCGAAAAUGAAGUGGUAUUCAGUAAUGAGGCUUCAACUGCCCUGAAGACUACCAUCAAAGGCGUGAAUAAUCUUCCUCAGGGGAUGGAACUAGAAGGGUCCUGCCUUCAGCAGCUUAGGUUCCCUUUGUUAGCUUCUGGGUUAACAAACCAAGACUGCCGGGCUUCAAUCAGAGAGAGCAUUUGACAAGAGACAAAAGCCAGACAACCUAAGGAACAGGAUCCUGCAUCUCAGCAUUUCCAACCUGAAACACCUAAGCUUCACCUGGGUGAGGUGAGGUGAUGUAUUGGACUCAGUGUCCUUCACAGAACCAUCAUGAUCCCACUGAUAAUGAGCUCACUGAUCUCUUUGGCUGGGUUUGAAAAACACAGGGUAAAGAAGGCUUGAUUGUAAGCUCCUUGAGGGCAGGGACCCUGUCUCUCUUGUUCACCUGUGCAUUCUCAGGGCCAAGCACCGUUUCCAACACAUGAUAAAUGCAUUAUUUAUUGACUGAAAGAGUGAAUGGAUGAGGUAUAGUUAAAAAGGAAGAAGAAAAACUGUGACUACAUCAAGAAAAGGAGCACAAUUUAUUGAGUAUUUGUUAGAGGCUAGGUGCUUUCUCAUGUCUCAUGGCUACUUCAUAAACUAGGCUCCUCCACGUUGCCAUGAGCAAUUUACUGAACUCUGAAGUUCCAUCUCCCCAUAUAUCAAAUUGUUGUGAGGACCUUUUUGCUUUUUCGAUCACUUAUAUCACAGCAGAGUUGGUGAGGGUCAGAUAACACACAUGGAAGUGACUUGGAGAUUCUUAGAGGAGCCUCUCCAAUAGAACCAUAUCUGUGUCAUCCAAUAUGAUUGCCAUUAGCCAUGCGUGGCUGCUGGGCACUCAAGAUAUGGCUAAUGUGACUGAGGAACUAGACUAUUUUUUCCUUUUAAGUAAACUUUAUUUUUUAGAGCAGUUUUAGGCUCAGCAUUCCUAUAUACCUCCUGCCCCCACACACCACUGCCUCCCCCACCAGACUGGAGUAUUUGUUACAAUUGAUGAAUCUACACUGAUACAUUACACCCCACAGCCCACGGCUUACAUUAUGGUUCACUCUUGGUAUUGUAUUUUCUACGGUUUUGGACAAAUGUAUAAUGACAUGUGUCUACCAUUAUAGAUAGUGCUGUAGUUUCACUGUCUGAAAAUCCUCUGUGGUCCACCUCUUCAUCUCUCUCUCCUCCAACCAACCACUGAUCAUUUCACUGUCUGCAUAGUUUUUGCCUUUUCCAGAACAUCACACAGUACAUAGCUUUUUCAGACAGGUGUCUUUCCCUUAGCAAUAUACGUAUAAAGUUCCUCCAUGUAGUUUCAUGGCUAAAUAGCUGAUACCUUUUGAGCACCAAAUGAUAUUCCAUUGUCUGGAUAUAACCCAGUUUAUCCAUUCCCACACUGAAGGACAUCUUGGUUGAUUUCAAGUUUUGGCUAUUAUGAAUAAAGCUGCCAUCAACAUUAGGGUUUUGUGUGGCCAUAAGUUUUCAGCUCUUUUGGGUAAAUACCAAGGAUUUACCAACUGCUGGAUUAUGUGGUAAGAGAAUGUUGAGCUUUGUAACUACCAAACCAUCUCCUAAAGUGGCUGCACCAUUUGGCAUUCCCACCAGCAAUGAAUGAAUGUUCUGUUGUUCCACAUCCUCACCAGCCUUGGUGUUGGCAUUCUGAAUUUUGGCCAUUCUAAUAGGUUUGUACUGGUAUGUCACUGUUGUCUUAAUUUAUAUUUCCCUGAUGACAUACGAUGUGAAGUGACUUUUCAUAUACUUGGCAUCUAUAUAUCUUCUUUGGUGAGGUUCAAGUCUUUUGCCCGUUUCUUAAUUGGGUUGUUUGUUUUCUUAUUGUUGAUUUUUAUUUUGAUUGAUUUGUAUACUUUGGAUAAUAGCCCUUAAUCAAAUAUAUCUGUUGCAAGUAUUUUUUUUCACAGUCUAUGGCUUGUCAUCUCAUUCUUGACACUAUCUUUCUCAGAGCACAAUUUUUUUAUUUUAAUGAAGCCCAGCUUAUCAAUUCUUUCUUUCAUGGAUCAAGCCUGUGAUGUUGUAUCUAAAAUGGCAUUCCCAUGCUAAAGGCCAUCUAGAUUUUCUUCUGUGUUAUCUUUCAGGUGUUGUAUAGUUUUGUGUUUAGGUAUAUGAUCCAUUUUGCAUUAAUUUUUGUGAAAGCUUGUAAGCUCUGUGUUUAUGUUCAUUUUCUUUUUUGCAUGUAAAUGUGUAGCUGUGUCAGCAUCACUUAUUGCAAAAAACUAUCUUUGCCCCAUUGUAUUGCCUUUUCUCCCUUGUCAAAGAGCAGUUGACUAUAUUUAUGUGGGUCUAUUUCUGGGCUCUCUGUUCUGAUCAUUGAUCCUUUUUGUCUGCUCCUUCACCAAUACCUCUGUGUCCUGAUUACUGUAAUUUGGAACUGGAUUUUUAAUUUUAUUUAACCUCAAUUAAUUUGGAUUUAAAUAGCUACUCCUAGCUAGUCCUUACCAUAUUGGACAGUGCAGGCUCUUCAUUUCAAGCUUUAAUCUUCUGAACUUCUGAGCUACCCUCACAUGGAUACUCCCUGAGAUUUUAGAUUCUGUAUUUAUUUCGUACCUGCUAGGGAAAGAUGCUGUAAGGGAUUCUAAGAUGAAUCAAGUAGAUUGUACAUCUUCUAUGAGAUGCUAAGACAAGUCCAUAUUAUCCUGUACUUUAAGAUACUAAGUAUUAAAUGUCAUAGGACAAGUUCAGGUGAAGUGCUACGGAGGAAGGAGCCAAUGUUCCUUGUUAGAGAAAUCAAGGGAGGCUCCCCAGAAAAGUUGUUUUUCCUGAAGUCAGGACUAAAGAUAUGUAUUUGGUAAUUGCUUAUGGUAACAGAUGGACUCUUUGCAAAGAGCUGAGGUCACACACUCCAUUUAUGUUCUUUAGGUCAGCCUAUUUGUAGUGUUACACAUGGACAUUAUUCCACUGAGGAAAUAUACCAUAAUCUUCCCUAAUCAAGGCAAUGUCCCCGCUAGAAUAUAAUUCAACUUACAUACUUCUCACCCUAGUCAGUGGUUCUCAAAGUGUGGUCCCCAGACCAGCAGCAUCAGCAGGGAACAUAUUAGAAAUACAAAUUGUCAUACCAGAGUCAGUACUCUGGGGGUGAGACCUUGCAGUCUAUGUUACAAAAAGUCAUCUUGUGAUCUUAGUGCAUACUCAAGUUUGAGGACCAUUGUCUAGAUUCAAGACCAUCUGAUUUAUAAAUGCCCAUAUAUGAACAAUUAUGAAUCCUAAAGGAGAAUUCUUCUUAUGAGAGAAAAGAUGCAUGCCUCUGUGUGCCUAACUUGGCCCAGAUCUCCAGCAUAACCACAGAUUUCUCAGCACCAAGUAAGGAACCCUAUGGUAACGAAGUCUGUACCUGUCUCAUUAUUGUGGUGGUAGUUUUAUAGAGAGAAGGUUUUUUUCUCUUUGUCCAGGAAAACUUGGAAAUGUUUUCCAAUGUUAAAAUUAAAAAUAAGGAAAAAAGAAAAAGUUAAAAAAAAAAAGCUGUCAAACUAGCCUGGGUCUCUGAUGAUUCAGAAUUCCAGUUCUGCCCUGGGAAAGAGAUAUUGAAAUGGAGAGCCUGUGUGAAACUGAGUAAGCAAUCAGCAGGAAUUAUUUUCUGCUUAACAGAUCAGAAGGGUGAAAAAGACAGUAGCACUGUUCCAAAAAGCUACAUCCUAGUAGAUAUUAUGGGUCAAGCUUUCCUUUAGAAAUAGCUCUGAGUUGUCCCCCUCUGCCAUGCCAGAAGCAAUGUAGUUGGCCAUCUCACUAAAUACCCACCUAAAUACCUUUUGUCUCCUUCAGGUAUGUCAGUUACUUAUUAUUAUAACAGUACUGCCUAACAAACAGUCCCCAAACUCAGUGGCUUAUAGCAACAAGCAUUUCUUUCUCAUUCUUACAUCUGCAGUCAGAAGGAUUCAGGGGAGCUUGGCUCCAGGGGCUGAUGGGGCUUUGGUCUGCUUUGCACAUCUCUUCUUGGGGCUAUGAUUGACUGAGGCCUGUUCUGCUCAUGGCAAAAGGCAGGCGUGCAAGACAGCAAGUUCAUCAACCAAGCUCAUGCCAAGCCUGUGCAUGCAUCACAGUUGCUAACAUCCCAUUGGCCAUAACAAGUCACAUGGCUAAAUCCAAAUCAAGGAGUGGGGGAGCACUGUCUGUCCACCAAGAGCCUAGGGCAAGGGUGUGACUGGGCAGUGCUACUACAGGAGAGUGAACAAUUUAGGCCAAUAAUCCAAUCAUCAGAGAUGGUUAUUCUGUGCAUCAGAGGUUCUCAAGCUUGGCUGCACAUUGUAAUCAUGCGGGAGUUUAAAAAAGUACUGAUGCCUGGGUCCCACCCCUAGAGAUUCUGGUUUAAUUGGUCUGGGUGCAGCCCAGGCUCAGAGUGGUAGAAGCUCCCCAGGUGAUUCUAAUGAACAGCCACGUGGGAGAGCCACUGAUGCUAAACCACAUGCUGUUCAUUACACAAACACGAAAUUCUGACCACAGCUUUGGGGAGGUCCCUUUCCUCUUCAUUUUGGGAACUCCCUAUCUUUUAAGACCUUCUACAGUUAAAGCACAUUACUGUCAGGUGCAAUUUCAGUUCCCUCUAGUGAGCAGCCUCAGGUCAAAUUCAUAAAGAGGUACCGACAGAGAUUUGCGUAGUGUUGAAUUCUAAUGAAUUGCUGGUGAUUCUGUUUGUUACUUGUCUAUGGUUAAAGUGAAAAACACUGGUGUGGGUGCUAAUUGCUAAAUGUCUACAUUCCUGAAGAACUUGUGAGAGGAGUAUAGGAUUCUGCUGUGUUAUUUAGAAGUGAAGAUUUACCAUCUCAAGGCACAGGACACUUGCACAGACGAGGUACAUAUUCAUUUUGGUUUCAUUUAUUUUCAUGUUUGCUAUACAUUUGUACACUGGGAAAUGUCUUUUUCUUGGUGUUUUCUGUCAUUCAAAGUUCUGGAAAUACAUAGAACUGAUAAAGAACUUCAAAACUGUUGUUAUCAAUAUCUGUUCUAAGGUAUUUGUUUUGUGCUACACAUUUUGAAAAAGGGAUACUUGGGGUUAAUUAAAAUCAAUGACUUUAGUCUUUUGUAAACCAUGCUUCUUCUCAGCAGAGUUUUUGCCACUAAGGAGCUCACAUUUUUUUAAUGAAUCCAGCAUAUUUUUUAAUCUUAAAACUCCCAUUUCAUUUAUUCCAUCACUAAUUUUA